GAUGCCCCAAAUCAAAAUCGCAACCAGAAGCUUCAUCUGCAAGCAGUGAGCAAUGACUGCGGCAGGGUGCCCAUGGAAAAGACUGUAAAAGACUUCAGCUACACCAUUUCGAUUUGCCCGCAACAACUGUGGCUGCAUGCCCACGCUCACACAGGACAAUAGCGAAGGCAAGCGGCCUGACGUCCCUCGGUUCGUAAUCAACUUCUAACACAGAAGUGGAGGAAAGCGGCUCCCGUUCCGUCGUACUAGUCAGUAUGGCUUCAUAUGCCAAUAGUGCAUAUGGACUCGCCCUCCGUCCAGCCUACCGCUUCCUCCCACCCCUGCUCUUUAGGACAAAGCUGGCAAAGGUUCAAUAUGGCAGCAUUUCUAGCUUCGGUCUGCCCAAUUUAAAAAUGGUGGCGCAGCCCUCUUUCCACGGUGACUCAGGAAUUUGGGGCAACUUCGUUUCCAGGAGUCUGACUGCUUGACCCCUUAUCCCGAGCCCCUCCGCGACUCUGAUACUGUGCAGCUCCUCUCACCUUUUCCUGUCUCUGUUCCGCUUUUCCAACACCUCGCCGUCCCGCCCCGCAAAGAGAUGGUAGUGCCCCGCAUUAACAUGGCUUCCACCGAGCCGCUAUGGCUUGCCCUCGAGGAAAAUGGCACAAUGUUGACUUCGAUGCCAGUAUACAAUAUGGAGAGAGCCAAGGAGGCGUUCCUUGGCGGUCACGAGUUGUCGAGUAGCGAUCCCGGGUCCGUCUACUUGUUUACUUCGUGGCGAGAGUGGUACACUGCGCCUGCGCCGUCUCGUUGACCCCUGACCAAGAGUGUUGUCUACACCACGUGACUGACUCUAGCCAUUUCAGCUACCCUGUUCAGAUAGAUGGUUUCACCCGUUGCAGCUCUACAGCUUCAGGGGCGCUACCACUAUCUGGCCUGGAAGGGAAGUGUUCUUUCCGGAUAUGACACCUCAUUGACCCGGAAAGGGAGGAGAUUGGGGCAGUGGAACCUCCGCGGUAGCUAUGGAAGGAUCCAGCUACAGGGUGGUUUUUGAGAAGGGAGGCGUUUAUCUGCACACCAGCGCCAGGAAGCACCAGGACCCGGACUCGCUCAUCGCGGGCGUCAUCCGUGUGGUGGAGAAGGACAGUGACGUCCUCCUGCACUGGGCUCCCGUGGAGGAGGCUGGAGACCCGACGCAGAUCGUCUUCUCCAAGAAGGACCCAAGUGGAGGGGAGCCCAGUGCCUCAGAGGAGGAGCCCACCUUUGACCCCGGCUAUGAACCUGACUGGGCUGUCAUCAGCACAGUGCAACCACGGCCACACCUGGCAGAGCCCAGGAGAGGUGCAGAGCCCAGCUGUCCCCGGAGCUCCUGGGCCUUCUCCGUGAGCCUGGGGGAGCUCAAGUCCAUCCGCAGGUCCAAGCCAGGCCUUAGCUGGGCCUACUUGGUCCUGGUGACCCAGGCUGGAGGCUCCCUGCCUGCCUUGCACUUCCACAGAGGGGGUACACGAGCCUUACUCCGGGUCCUCAGCCGCUAUCUGCUGUUGGCCAGCUCCCCGCAGGACCCCCGCCUCUACUUGGUCUUCCCCCACGACUCCUCCGCUCUCUCCAGCUCUUUCCAUCACCUGCAGCUCUUCGACCAGGACAGCUCCAAUGUGGUAUCUCGCUUCCUCCAGGAUCCCUACUCUACCACCUUCAGUAGCUUCUCUCGAGUGACCAACUUCUUCCGGGGAGCCCUGCAGCCGCACCCUGAGGGCGCGUCCUCCCCUGACCUGCCCCUGCUGCCAGAUGAUGAGCCAGAGCCUGGCUUCGAGGUCAUCUCCUGCGUGGAGCUGGGGCGGCGUCCCACAGUGGAGCGGGCUCCUCCAGUCACAGAGGAAGAAUGGUCCCGCCACGUGGGUCCUGAUGGUCGCCUGCAGAAUAUCCCUGAAUUGAAAAAUCGGAUCUUCUCAGGAGGUCUCAGCCCUGGCCUGCGGCGGGAGGCAUGGAAGUUCCUCCUGGGGUACCUUAGCUGGGAGGGUUCAGCUGAAGAACACAAAGCCCAUGUGCGGAAGAAAACGGAUGAGUACUUCCGAAUGAAGCUACAGUGGAAGUCCGUGAGUGCUGAACAGGAGCGGCGGAACUCACUGCUGCACGGAUACCGCAGCCUCAUUGAGAGAGAUGUAAGCCGCACCGACAGGACUAACAAGUUCUACGAAGGCCCUGAGAACCCAGGGCUGGGCCUGCUCAAUGACAUCCUCCUCACCUACUGCAUGUACCACUUCGACUUGGGCUAUGUUCAGGGCAUGAGUGACCUCCUGUCCCCAAUCCUCUUCGUUGUUCAGAACGAAGUGGAUGCCUUCUGGUGUUUCUGUGGCUUCAUGGAACUUGUGCAUGGGAACUUUGAGGAGAGCCAGGAGACUAUGAAGCGGCAGCUUGGGCAGCUCUUGCUGCUUCUGCGGGUGCUGGAUCAGCCACUCUGUGAUUUCCUGGAUUCCCAGGACUCGGGCUCGCUGUGCUUCUGCUUCCGGUGGCUGCUCAUCUGGUUCAAGAGGGAAUUUCCCUUCCCUGAUGUCCUUCGGCUGUGGGAGGUGGGCAGCCAGCUGGGGUCCUGUGGACUGGGCUUCCUGGUCCCAAUCUGCACCUGCUGGUGGCCUGUGCCAUCUUAGACAUGGAGCGGGAUACCCUGAUGCUGUCUGGCUUUGGCUCCAACGAGAUCCUUAAGCACAUCAAUGAACUGACCAUGAAGCUGAGCGUCGAGGAUGUGCUGACGCGGGCAGAGGCCCUGUACAGGCAGCUGACUGCCUGCCC